UAACAAUGUCAUCCAUGUUGAAUUUGUGCAUGGUGCAUUAUCAAAAAGCCACGCAAUGCUUAGCUUCCAAGCUUAGGAAUGGGCAAGACCAAAGCUGACAAUUGCUCAUUCCUAGGGUUUUAUCUACUCUUACGCUCAAAUAAAUUGACUAGGAUUACGUUUUGUUCUUGAAUCAUGUCAUUGUUGGUCUUUUAUCUUCACAUUUUUUAAUAAAUAACACCUCUUGACUUUUCUUACGGGGUUUCCAAGUUAAUUCGAGACUUUUUCAAAAACAAAAGGAGCUUAACAUGACUCCGUAUCUACGGAAGUUUAGCCAAUCUCAAUACCUAAGGAGCUUAGUACCUUCAGUGAAAAAGUGUACUUUCAAUGAUAAUUAAAUUUGUAACUACUUAACGGGCUCCACAAAAAACACUAUGUCUGAUCAACUCAACUGAUCACCGGAAUGUCAUGAUCAGUUUUUGUUUUUGGUAAAAAAUGUCAGGGUCAGUUGCUUACCAUUUCCUCUCCCCUCGACUGAAUUGCCGAGUUGCCUCUCCGGUUAUGUUCUGUCAAAGUAUUGACUAGCUUGAAAGUUUGAAUUAUUGUGGUCUCUCCUUUAAAGUGUCUGGCCGGCUACGUACAUAGUAUUUUUUUUUGCCUAACCGAGUUUUCCUACAUUAAGCUAACAUUAUCGACUGGUUGACAAAAAAA
rnacentral:lncRNA from 1 species